rnacentral:rRNA from 1 species
AUGUUUGGCUGCAACAAUGUCACUUCUUCACAUAUGCCAUGUCCCAUUGCUUGUCACAUGCUUGACUUGAUUGCCUCACACAUGAUGAACAAUUGCUCUUUCUAUUGUGUUGAGUGCCACACUAUAUUCACUACACCCUAUGCACAUUAUGCUUGGAUUGUCUUGCACUUGACCCAUGUGUUUAGACACUUCAUUUUAUUUGGUGUUGUGAAUGAUUCUUAUGCCUACCAUGGACCUUUCAUUGAGCAAUUUAUGAAUGCUUUCUAUGACCUCGAGGUUGAUGCUUAUUAUCUUGUCACACAUAUUUGCAUCUCUACCUCACAUUUGCAUAUAUACUUGUCCACAUGA